UUUCGAAUCAUUCACAAUGGGCGAAAGCCAGAUGGUGCGACGCCGCGUGGGGGACGAAGGUCUUCGGAUUGUAAACCCCUGUCACCGGGGACAAAACGUUGCUUGUUAAUAGCGAGCGACCUGAUUUAACCCGGAGAGGAAGCAGUGGCUAACUCUGUGCCAGCAGCCGCGGUAAUACAGAGACUGCAAGCGUUGUUCGGAUUCACUGGGCGUAAAGGGUGCGCAGGCGGCCGGGUGUGUCGGGUGUGAAAGCUCGAGGCUUAACCUCGAAACUGCGCCCGAAACUAUCCGGCUAGAGUACUGGAGAGGGAAGCGGAAUUCACGGUGUAGCAGUGAAAUGCGUAGAUAUCGUGAGGAACACCAAUGGCGAAGGCAGCUUCCUGGACAGUUACUGACGCUCAGGCACGAAAGCGUGGGGAGCAAAAGGG
rnacentral:rRNA from 1 species